AGAGAGACGUAGCUGCCGGGAUAGAGAAACGAAGGAGAGGUUGACGUGGUGGAAGAAAGGAAGAUGGUAGUGGGGAGCAAGAGGAAUCGAGUCUAGCGUGGAGAGACUGAGAGGAUAGUAGAAAGAGAUGUAGAAGUGACAUAGAAGGAAAGUAGGCAACUGUAUUCUGCUCUCCCUUUCUCAAAAUCACAUCAGAGGCGGACGGCAGCAGUACUCCAUUCCGCUCCUCUCGGUUUUACUCCACUCCACUUUACGAGGAAAGAGGGAACGGGAGAGCGAGAGAUGGUCGAUGAGAGGCUGGGAAAGACAGGGGUGUAGGGGAAAGGCUGAGAGACGCGCGGAUAUUGAUUCUCGCGGGAUAUGCGCGCGUUCAACGAGACUCCGAAGUCUAAAAUGUGCAGUGGAUAACGGAUACAUUAUUCACAUCACACAUAGGGGAAAAUUCUUUAAGGAAAAAUCAAACUGAAAAAUCGAAGAGAGAAUAGCCGGAAAGAAGAAGAAAAUAAUCACGCCUAAGAUAUCACACCUAAUUCCACAGUUACGUGAGAUUUCUUUCUUGUUUUCCCUCCACUUUACUUGGCCGGUUGGUUGGUUGGUUGGACAGAUCGUUCGGGGCAAAAAUCCAACGCGUGCAAACCAACACACUGCACGCCACUACACUCGACUUCUACAACAUCCGGUGUUGCCUCCACUUGCGAGCCAGCCAGUUUGGGCUAAUCAUCUUUCUGCCAAUUUCUCUGCCUGCCUGCUUACUUGUUAUUUACCACAAUUAUUACUACUAAUACUACUAUUAUCUCCGACUGUUGCUACGCUUACCACUACUACCCAUCAUCCGUUACUACUCUAGGCAUUGACUAUAACCUACGAACACGUUUUAUGAAAGAAACCCACGUGAAAAUCCACGUGACUACUAUUUCAUUGAUUCUACGAUACUAAUAAUGAGCUUCCUUUAUAAUAUCAUACCUUUUGUGACUCCUUCUCAAUUA